GAUAACCUACCCUUUGGAAGGGGAUAAUCUUGGGAAACUGAGUGUAAUACCCUAUAGGAGAUUCUAACUGGAAUGUUUUUUCUCUGAAAGAUUUAUCACCAAAGGAUGGGUCGGCGGUCAAUUAGGUUGUUGGCGGUGUAAUGGACCACCAAGCCUACGAUUGGUAGGGGCCUUGAGAGAGGUAGCCCCGAGAAGGACACUGAGAAACAGGUCCUAGCCCUACGGGGUGCAGCAGGCGCGAAACCUCUACACUGUACGAAAGUGCGAUAGGGGAAUCCUGAGUGCUCAAGCAUUGCUUGGGCUUUUGCCAAAUGUAAAUAAUUUGGCGAAUAAGUGGUGGGCAAGACUGGUGCCAGCCGCCGCGGUAACACCAGCGCCACGAGUGGCAACCGCUUUUAUUGGGCCUAAAGCGUUCGUAGCCGGUUUGAUAAAUUUUCUGUGAAAUUGUAUAGCUCAACUAAACACCGAGCAGAAAAAACUGUCAGACUAGGGACCGGGAGGAGUCAGAGGUAUUCAAUGGGGAGCGGUAAAAUGCUAUAAUCCAUUGAAGACCACCUGUGGCGAAGGCGUCUGACUAGAACGGAUCCGACGGUGAGGGACGAAAGCUAGGGGAGCAAACCGGAUUAGAUACCCGAGUAGUCCUAGCAGUAAACUUUGCGAGCUGGGUGUUGCAUAUUCUUCGUGAAUAUGCAGUGUCGUAGCGAAGGCGUUAAGCUCGCCGCCUGGGGAGUACGGUCGCAAGGCUGAAACUUAAAGGAAUUGGCGUGGAGCACCACAAGGGGUGCGGCGUGCGGUUUAAUCUAAUUCAACGCAGAAAAUUUCACCAGAGGCGACGGCAGGAUGAAGGUCAGUCUAAAGGGCUUACCUGACGAGCCGAGAGGUAGUGCAUGGCCGCCGUCAGCUCGUGCCGUGAGGUGUCCUGUUAAGUCAGGUAACGAGCGAGACCUACGUCCAUAAUUGCUAACAGGCUUUGUGACUGAGCACAUUAUGGGGACUGCCCGGGAAACUGGGAGGAAGGUGUAGGCUACGGUAGGUCUGUAUGCUCCGAAUCCUCUGGGCUACACGCGCGCAACAACGGUAGGGACAAUGGGAUGCAACCCCGAAAGGGGAAGCCAAUCCUCUAAACCCUAUCUAAGUCCAGAUCGUGGAUUGUAACUCAUCCACGUGACGAUGGAAUCCCUAGUAAUCGGGUCUCAUUACAGCCCGGUGAAUAAGUCCCUGCUCCUUGCACACACCGCCCGUCAAACCACUCGAGCAGAGUUUAGGUGAGGUUUAGUCUUUUUGAUUAGAUCAAAUCUAAGCUCAGUGAGAUGGGUUAAGUCGUCACAAGGUA
rnacentral:rRNA from 1 species